UCUUGGUUUACAAAGAAAUUAAAGAGAGAAUGGAGGCAAGAAAACUCUGUGCAAUUUUUGUUGCUUGUUUGAUUAUGUUGUUAGGAGCAUUUGCAGGAGAAUCCUUAGCACAAAACUGUGGAGGUAGGGAUAACCAUAUUUGUAUUAGAAGAUGUAAACUAUGGUGCAUGAAAUCAAUGACUGCCAAGGAGUGUUAUGAGUGUUUAGACAAUUGCCAUCCAUGCAAACCUUAAACGACAAGAUGAAGCUGAAAUGGAAGAAUCCCCAAAGAAUUUACCUUUUGAAUAAUGUCUUUCUUCUUCUUCUUCUUCAUAUGAAUAAAGUUGUCCAUUUAGUGAUAUGAAGACCUUUUACUUUUGUAACUAUUUUGGACUUAUUUUCAGACAAAUUUUUUUUU